rnacentral:piRNA from 1 species
UUAAAUUCUGAUUCUGAAUAAAGGCA